GAGUCUGCCGAUAAGAAUGCGGUGAUUGACAGAGUCGAAAAAGCCUUGGCCAGAUCAAUGAAUACGGCUGCACAGUAUUGUCUCUUAUCGAUGGCGGUUAUGAUAUCGUUUAGGACCUUGAGCGUGGCUGAGGUAUACCCGUGACCAGCUCUGAAACCAGAUUGCAUAGCGGAAAAGGUAAGGUGGGAUUCGAAAUGGUCGGUGAUCUGUUUGUUAACUUGGCUUUCGAACACCUUAGAAAGGCAGGGCAGGAUGGAUAUAGGUCUGUAACAGUCUAGAGGCAGGGCAGGAUGGAUAUAGGUCUGUAACAGUUUGGGUCUAGAGGCAGGGCAGGAUGGGUAUAGGUCUGUAGCAGUUUGGGUCUAGAGGCAGGGCAGGAUGGAUAUAGGUCUGUAACAGUUUGGGUCUAGAGGCAGGGCAGGAUGGAUAUAGGUCUGUAGCAGUUUGGGUCUAGAGGCAGGGCAGGAUGGAUAUAGGUCUGUAACAGUUUGGGUCUAGAGGCAGGGCAGG
ensembl:lncRNA